rnacentral:rRNA from 1 species
UACGUAGGUCCCGAGCGUUGUCCGGAUUUGUUGGGCGUAAAGCGAGCGCAGGUGGUUUAUUAAGUCUGGUGUAAAAGGCAGUGGCUCAACCAUUGUAUGCAUUGGAAACUGGUAGACUUGAGUGCAGGAGAGGAGAGUGGAAUUCCAUGUGUAGCGGUGAAAUGCGUAGAUAUAUGGAAGAACACCGGUGGCGAAAGCGGCUCUCUGGCCUGUAACUGACACUGAGGCUCGAAAGCGUGGGGAGCAAACAGG